ACUCAAAUGAAUAGACGGGGGCCCGCACAAGCGGUGGAGCAUGUGGUUUAAUUCGACGCAACGCGAAGAACCUUACCCAGACUUGACAUUGAUAGGAUCCCUUGGAAACUUGGGAGUACUCUUCGGAGACUUGAAAACAGGUGCUGCAUGGCUGUCGUCAGCUCGUGUCGUGAGAUGUUGGGUUAAGUCCCGCAACGAGCGCAACCCUUGUCGUUAGUUGCCAUCAGGUAAAGCUGGGCACUCUAGCGAGACUGCCGGUGUCAAACCGGAGGAAGGUGGGGAUGACGUCAAGUCCUCAUGGCCUUUAUGUCUGGGGCUACACACGUGCUACAAUGGCAUCUACAAACCGACGCGAACACGUAAGUGGGAGCAAAUCGGAAAAAAGAUGUCUCAGUUCGGAUCGGAGUCUGCAACUCGACUUCGUGAAGUUGGAAUCGCUAGUAAUCGUGGAUCAGCAUGCCACGGUGAAUACGUUCCCGGGCCUUGUACACACCGCCCGU
rnacentral:rRNA from 1 species